ensembl:snRNA U6 U6 spliceosomal RNA
GUGCUCACUUUGGUGGCACAAAUGCUAAAUUGGAACAAUACAGAGAAGACUAGUAAUCCCCCUGCACAAGGAUGACAUACAGAUUCAUGAGGCAUUCUGUUUUUUA